GAUGAACGCUGGCGGCGUGCCUAAUACAUGCAAGUCGAGCGAACGGACGAGAAGCUUGCUUCUCUGAUGUUAGCGGCGGACGGGUGAGUAACACGUGUAUAACCUACCUAUAAGACUGGGAUAACUUCGGGAAACCGUAGCUAAUACCGGAUAAUAUUUUGAACCGCAUGGUUCAAAAGUGAAAGACGGUCUUGCUGUCACUUAUAGAUGGAUCCGCGCUGCAUUAGCUAGUUGGUAAGGUAACGGCUUACCAAGGCAACGAUGCAUAGCCGACCUGAGAGGGUGAUCGGCCACACGGGAGCUGAGACGCGGUCCAGACUCCUACGGGAGGCAGCAGUAGGGAAUCGUCCGCAAUGGGCGAAAGCCUGACGGAGCAACGCCGCGUGAGUGAUGAAGGUCUUCGGAUCGUAAAGCUCUGUUAUUAGGGAAGAACAGAUGUGUAAGGAACUGUGCACAGCUUGACGGUACCUAAUAAGAAAGCCACGGCUAACUACGUG
rnacentral:rRNA from 1 species